rnacentral:rRNA from 1 species
GAUGAACGCUAGCUACAGGCUUAACACAUGCAAGUCGAGGGGCAGCAUGAACUUAGCUUGCUAAGUUUGAUGGCGACCGGCGCACGGGUGAGUAACACGUAUCCAACCUUCCGUUUACUCAGGGAUAGCCUUUCGAAAGAAAGAUUAAUACCUGAUAGUAUGGUGAGAUUGCAUGAUAGCACCAUUAAAGAUUUAUUGGUAAACGAUGGGGAUGCGUUCCAUUAGGUAGUAGGCGGGGUAACGGCCCACCUAGCCGACGAUGGAUAGGGGUUCUGAGAGGAAGGUCCCCCACAUUGGAACUGAGACACGGUCCAAACUCCUACGGGAGGCAGCAGUGAGGAAUAUUGGUCAAUGGGCGUAAGCCUGAACCAGCCAAGUCGCGUGAGGGAUGAAGGUUCUAUGGAUCGUAAACCUCUUUUAUAAGGGAAUAAAGUGUGGGACGUGUCCCGUUUUGUAUGUACCUUAUGAAUAAGGAUCGGCUAACUCCGUG